AUUGAACGCUGGCGGCAGGCUUAACACAUGCAAGUCGAGCGGGGUGAUGGUGCUUGCACUAUCACUUAGCGGCGGACGGGUGAGUAAUGCUUAGGAAUCUGCCUAUUAGUGGGGGACAACAUCUCGAAAGGGAUGCUAAUACCGCAUACGUCCUACGGGAGAAAGCAGGGGAUCACUUGUGACCUUGCGCUAAUAGAUGAGCCUAAGUCGGAUUAGCUAGUUGGUGGGGUAAAGGCCUACCAAGGCGACGAUCUGUAGCGGGUCUGGGAGGAUGAUCCGCCACACUGGGACGGAGACACGGCCCAGACUCCUACGGGAGGCAGCAGUGGGGAAUAUUGGACAAUGGGGGGAACCCUGAUCCAGCCAUGCCGCGUGUGUGAAGAAGGCCUUAUGGUUGUAAAGCACUUUAAGCGAGGAGGAGGCUCUUUUGGUUAAUACCCAAGAUGAGUGGACGUUACUCGCAGAAUAAGCACCGGCUAACUCUGUGCCAGCAGCCGCCGUAA
rnacentral:rRNA from 1 species